CCUACGGGGGGCAGCAGUAGGGAAUUUUGCGCAAUGGGCGAAAGCCUGACGCAGCAACGCCGCGUGAUCGAGACGCCCUUCGGGGCGUAAAGAUCUGUCAGUGGGGACGACACUUGACGGUACCCACAGAGGAAGCACCGGCUAACUCCGUGCCAGCAGCCGCGGUAAUACGGGGGGUGCAAGCGUUGUCCGGAAUCAUUGGGCGUAAAGCGUUCGUAGGCGGCACGUAAAGUCCGGUGUUAAAGGCAGGGGCUCAACUUCUGUACGGCACUGGAUACUUGCGAGCUAGAAUGCGGUAGAGGUAAAGGGAAUUCCUGGUGUAGCGGUGAAAUGCUUAGAUAUCAGGAGGAACAUCGGUGGCGUAAGCGCUUUACUGGGCCGUAAUUGACGCUGAGGAACGAAAGCCAGGGUAGCAAAUGGGAUUAGAUACCCGGGUAGUC
rnacentral:rRNA from 1 species